GUUCCCGGUGAUGCCUUUUUAAACCAUGCUAAUGCUGAUAUCAGAUGAUUUAUGCUUUUAGUUUAUACUGAGGGAACC